rnacentral:rRNA from 1 species
UACGGAGGGUGCGAGCGUUGUUCGGAAUCACUGGGCGUAAAGCGCGUGUAGGCGGCCCACUAAGUCUGAUGUGAAAGCCCGGGGCUCACCCCCGGAAGUGCAUUGGAAACUGGUGGACUCGAGUCCCGGAGAGGAGAGUGGAAUUCCUGGUGUAGCGGUGAAAUGCGUAGAUAUCAGGAGGAACACCGGUGGCGAAAGCGGCUCUCUGGACGGUGACUGACGCUGAGACGCGAAAGCGUGGGGAGCAAACAGG